AUGGGGGGGGGGGGGUCGGGCUGUCGCGCAGGAAGGGAGCAGCAGCGGGAGGGGCCGCGGGGGUCGCCGAGGGGAGGAAGGGGCCGCUGCCCCCCGCGGGGACGAGGGUUCUGCAUCGGGAGGGGCGGCCGGGCGGCCCUUACCUGCUCGCACCGGGCCUCGCGGCGGGCUGCGGGCUGCGGGCUGCGGGCUGCGGGCUGCGGGCUGCGGGCGGACUCCGGCGGGAGGCCCGGGCUGGAGCGAGGGCGCCGAGGAGCGCGCGCCGAGCCCGGGUCCCCGCGUCCGCGUGUCCGCCGGCGGCCGGUGUCCGGGCCCCUGCGCCGCGGCGUGUGCGUGUGCGUGUGCGCACGCGGGGACCGCGCUCGCCGGAGCUGGAGCCGCCGCCGCCGCCAGUCACCGCCCGGGCCCGGGCGCGGCGCCCCCGCCCGCCCCCCGCGCCCCCCCGCGCCCCGCGCCCCGCGGGCUCGGUCCUGCGGGAGAGGCGCCGCCAAGCCAGGCCGGGCCGGAGCGAGGCGAGCGACCACCGCCUCCGCCGCGCUCCUCGCAGGGUGGGGUGCGGGUGGGGGUGUGGACCAAUGGGCGCCCGGGGGAGGGGUUAGCGGGGGGUGCGGGGGAGCGGGACCCCGCCCGCCGCGCUCCCCCGGCCGCCCCGACACCGCCCGAGCUGCGGGCGACCCCGGCGGCGGUGCGGAGGCGAGCGCGCGCCCCAAAGGGUCCGGGCUGGGCCGGGGCUCGCUGCCCCCCUUCCCAGCCUCCCCGAGCCAGAAAGCCCUCCUCUGCCCCCUUCCGCGUCCUCAGGAGUCCCUGCGGGUCCGUGGGUCUAGUCUGCGCUUCCUCCUCCGGGAAGCCUUCCUCACCCGCAAGUCCCAGAGUCCGCUUGGCUUACUCUGGGCCCCCACAGCCCAGGGCCUGGGAAGAUCGGCCAGCUUUGCCCCCCCCCCUCCGGGGAUGUCCUCAAAUGUGACCCCUGGAGAACACCUCUGUGGCCAGAAAGGAGCGGGGGUGAGGGUG
rnacentral:lncRNA from 1 species